rnacentral:rRNA from 1 species
UACGUAGGGGGCAAGCGUUGUCCGGAAUCAUUGGGCGUAAAGAGCGUGUAGGCGGCCCGGUAAGUCCGCUGUGAAAGUCGGGGGCUCAACCCUCGAAUGCCGGUGGAUACUGUCGGGCUAGAGUGCGGAAGAGGCGAGUGGAAUUCCUGGUGUAGCGGUGAAAUGCGCAGAUAUCAGGAGGAACACCGAUUGCGAAGGCAGCUCGCUGGGACGUAACUGACGCUGAGGCACGAAAGCUAGGGGAGCAAACAGG